rnacentral:rRNA from 1 species
UACGGGGGGUGCGAGCGUUGUCCGGAAUCACUGGGCGUAAAGGGCGCGUAGGUGGUCUGAUAAGGGUGUGGUGAAAGUCCGGGGCUCAACCCCGGAUCUGCCGUGCCGACUGUCAGACUCGAGGACUGUAGAGGCAGGCGGAAUUCCGGGUGUAGCGGUGGAAUGCGUAGAGAUCCGGAGGAACACCAGUGGCGAAGGCGGCUCACUGGCCCGGUACUGACGCUGAGGUGCGAAAGCGUGGGGAGCAAACAGG